CCCUUAGAUGUUCUGGGCUGCACGCGCGCUACACUGAUACUUUCAGCGAGUCCACCACCUUGCCUGGGAAGGUGGGGUAACCUCUGGAAAGUGCAUCGUGAUGGGGAUCGAUUAUUGUAAUUAUUAAUCUUCAACGAGGAAUUCCUAGUAAGCAUGUGUCAUCAGCCCGUGCUGAUUACGUCCCUGCCCUUUGUACACACCGCCCGUCGCUCCUACCGAUUGGGUGAGCCGAUGAAACUCUCGGAUGUAGGCUAUUCAUAGCCCGCAGAAGAGAUUUGAAUCGUAGCGCUUAGAGGAAGGAGAAGUCGUAACA
rnacentral:rRNA from 1 species